rnacentral:rRNA from 1 species
ACGAACGCUGGCGGCGUGCUUAACCCAUGCAAGUCGCACGGAAAGGCCCUGCUUUUGUGGGGUGCUCGAGUGGCGAACGGGUGAGUAACACGUGAGUAACCUGCCCUUGACUUUGGGAUAACUUCAGGAAACUGGGGCUAAUACCGGAUAGGAGCUCCUGCUGCAUGGUGGGGGUUGGAAAGUUUCGGUGGUUGGGGAUGGACUCGCGGCUUAUCAGCUUGUUGGUGGGGUAGUGGCUUACCAAGGCUUUGACGGGUAGCCGGCCUGAGAGGGUGACCGGCCACAUUGGGACUGAGAUACGGCCCAGACUCCUACGGGAGGCAGCAGUGGGGAAUAUUGCACAAUGGGCGGAAGCCUGAUGCAGCAACGCCGCGUGCGGGAUGACGGCCUUCGGGUUGUAAACCGCUUUCGCCUGUGACGAAGCGUGAGUGACGGUAAUGGGUAAAGAAGCACCGGCUAACUACGUG